rnacentral:rRNA from 1 species
AUCUACGGCCGUGUGGUGCGUUGGAUACACCUGAUCCCUCAAUCAAGUUAAGCAACACGCAGUCCGGUCAGUUCUUAGAUGGGAGACCAACCAAGGAUGACCAGAUGCUGUAGACU